rnacentral:rRNA from 1 species
CACAGGUAGUCAAGAUGAGAAUUCUAAGGUGAGCGAGCGAACUCUCGUUAAGGAACUCGGCAAAAUGACCCCGUAACUUCGGGAGAAGGGGUGCUCUUUGAGGUUCACGCUUCGAAGAGCCGCAGUGAAUAGGCCCAAGCGACUGUUUAUCAAAAACACAGGUCUCUGCUAAACCGUAAGGUGACGUAUAGGGGCUGACGCCUGCCCGGUGCUGGAA